AGCUCAGUGGUAGAGCGCGUGCUUAGCAUGCACAAGGUCCUGGGUUCAAUCCCCAG
rnacentral:tRNA from 1 species